GAUGAACGCUAGCGGCAGGCCUAAUACAUGCAAGUCGAACGGUAAGUUUUCUUCGGAAGACACGAGUGGCGCACGGGUGAGUAACGCGUACGCAAUCUGCCUCUAUCAGGGGGAUACACACGGGAAACUGUGGAUAAUCCCGCAUACAAUUCAUUACUGGCAUCAGUGGUGGAUAAAAGCUACGGCGGAUAGAGAUGAGCGUGCGUCUGAUUAGCUAGUUGGUGAGGUAACGGCUCACCAAGGCGACGAUCAGUAGGGGGCGUGAGAGCGUGAUCAGCCACACUGGGACUGAGACACGGCCCAGACUCCUACGGGAGGCAGCAGUGGGGAAUAUUGGACAAUGGGCGAAAGCCUGAUCCAGCAAUGCCGCGUGAGUGAUGAAGGCCUUAGGGUUGUAAAGCUCUUUUACCAGGGAUGAUAAUGACAGUACCUGGAGAAUAAGCUCCGGCUAACUCCGUGCCAGCAGCCGCGG
rnacentral:rRNA from 1 species